rnacentral:lncRNA from 1 species
CAUUUAUUGAAGAGACCACCUGUUCCUCCUGGAUGGAGAUGGUUUGACCAUAUGGAUAAGAGCUAAUGUCAGGGCGCUCUUUUCUAUUGUUCUGUCUGUCUUUACACCAACGCCACACUGUUCUGACUACUGUAUCUUUGUAGUGAAUUUUGAAUCAGGAAAUGUGAAGCUUCCAAGUUUGUUCUCUUUCAAAAUUAUUUUGGCCACUUAAGACUCAGUGAUGGCUUUUUAAUGCAGGAGCACAAGGAACUGAUCACAGCAGAAAAAGGUACAAAAGCUUGAAUUUUAGGAUUGAAUGGAACAAAAGCCAUUUAUCCAGCCUCUGCUUAAGCACAUUUGGUGCUGGUAAGCUCACUAUUUCACAGACAGGUAGACUCUUCAUACUAACCUUGACCUGUUUUCCUGGCAGGUUUGCCCAGUGACCUUGAUGCUGCUGUCUAGAGUUAUACUCAGAGCAAGGAUGGAUGCCAAGGGCCAGCCAUCUAACUAGCCAUUCUCUUGGGCAGGUUCUUCAAGUUUCUCAUGGGAAUCCAAGUCUGCUUCUCCCUUUCAUCUUCCUAAGGAAGCCCUGCAUUUAGGCUCAAGUGCAUUGAGGUUGUGAGUGCCCGGCUUCAUGCUGAAGCUCUGCUGCUAUUUCUAGCCACGUGACUUUGGACUAAAAAGGUAACACCCCCCCCAACCCAUUUCCUUACCUAAAAGGUGGGGGUCAUAACAGACCUUGGUUCAUUGGGUUGCAGUCCUGAUGAGGGAGUACCUGAGUUCUGUUAGGAGCAGCAGCAGUGCUCGGCUGUG